GAUGAAAGCUGGCGGCGUGCCUAAUACAUGCAAGUAGAACGCUGAAGCUUGGUGCUUGCACCGAGCGGAUGAGUUGCGAACGGGUGAGUAACACGUAGGUAACCUGCCUCUUAGCGGGGGAUAACUAUUGGAAACGAUAGCUAAUACCGCAUAAAAGUCAAUAUCGCAUGAUAUUGAUUUGAAAGGUGCAAAUGCAUCACUAAGAGAUGGACCUGCGUUGUAUUAGCUAGUUGGUGAGGUAACGGCUCACCAAGGCGACGAUACAUAGCCGACCUGAGAGGGUGAUCGGCCACACUGGGACUGAGACACGGCCCAGACUCCUACGGGAGGCAGCAGUAGGGAAUCUUCGGCAAUGGGGGCAACCCUGACCGAGCAACGCCGCGUGAGUGAAGAAGGUUUUCGGAUCGUAAAGCUCUGUUGUAAGAGAAGAACGAGUGUGAGAGUGGAAAGUUCACACUGUGACGGUAACUUACCAGAAAGGGACGGCUAACUACGUGCCAGCAGCCGCGGUAAUACGUAGGUCCCGAGCGUUAUCCGGAUUUAUUGGGCGUAAAGCGAGCGCAGGCGGUUAGAUAAGUCUGAAGUUAAAGGCUGUGGCUUAACCAUAGUACGCUUUGGAAACUGUUUAACUUGAGUGCAGAAGGGGAGAGUGGAAUUCCAUGUGUAGCGGUGAAAUGCGUAGAUAUAUGGAGGAACACCGGUGGCGAAAGCGGCUCUCUGGUCUGUAACUGACGCUGAGGCUCGAAAGCGUGGGGAGCAAACAGG
rnacentral:rRNA from 1 species